AAGUCGUAACAAGGUUUCCGUAGGUGAACCUGCGGAAGGAUCAUUACUGAAUAAAGCGUGGUCGGGGGGGGUUUGUUGCUGGCAUCCUCUGUGAUGCAUGUGCACACCCUUCUGCCACUCUGUCAUUCACCCUCUCCACCUGUGCAUUUUAUUGUAGGCCAGUUUGCCGUUUUUCACUCGCCCUUGCUUGUGUCUUGGGGUUUGCUGUUGCAUUGACACGGCUCUCCUCGUCGGCAUCUCUGGUCUAUGCUCUUUUUACCCAUAACACCCCAUGUUUUUGUAUUGCCGUUAGCUUUGUUAAAAGCAAUGUGUAUGCACAACUUUCAACAACGGAUCUCUUGGCUCUC
rnacentral:misc_RNA from 1 species